CCCAGACAGCCAGGAUGUUGGCUUAGAAGCAGCCAUCAUUUAAAGAAAGCGUAAUAGCUCACUGGUCGAGUCGGCCUGCGCGGAAGAUGUAACGGGGCUAAACCAUGCACCGAAGCUGCGGCAGCGACACUGUGUGUUGUUGGGUAGGGGAGCGUUCUGUAAGCCUGUGAAGGUGGCCUGUGAGGGUUGCUGGAGGUAUCAGAAGUGCGAAUGCUGACAUAAGUAACGAUAAAGCGGGUGAAAAGCCCGCUCGCCGGAAGACCAAGGGUUCCUGUCCAACGUUAAUCGGGGCAGGGUGAGUCGACCCCUAAGGCGAGGCCGAAAGGCGUAGUCGAUGGGAAACGGGUUAAUAUUCCCGUACUUGGUGUUACUGCGAAGGGGGGACGGAGAAGGCUAUGUUGGCCGGGCGACGGUUGUCCCGGUUUAAGCGUGUAGGUGUGUGUUCCAGGUAAAUCCGGUUCACUUUAACACUGAGGCGUGAUGACGAGGCACUACGGUGCUGAAGCAACAAAUGCCCUGCUUCCAGGAAAAGCCUCUAAGCAUCAGGUAACAUCAAAUCGUACCCCAAACCGACACAGGUGGUCAGGUAGAGAAUACCAAGGCGCUUGAGAGAACUCGGGUGAAGGAACUAGGCAAAAUGGUGCCGUAACUUCGGGAGAAGGCACGCUGACA
rnacentral:rRNA from 1 species